GUUUUUAAUUUUUAAUUUAAUUUUCUUAGUUAAUUUUUAGUUUUUAAUUUUUAAUUUUUAUUUCUUUACUUUUAUUCAGUUUUGUUUAGUGCUGCUAAGGUAUUGUUUGUUUGUUUAUGCGAGGUUCAUAUUCGAUACUAAUACCUAUCAACCCAUAAAUCGAAAGAAUAUCACACUAAAGGAAAAUAUUUCCAUGAUUUUUAUUGAUUAUCAACCUGUAAUAUAU
rnacentral:lncRNA from 1 species